rnacentral:rRNA from 1 species
UACGUAGGGGGCUAGCGUUGUCCGGAAUCAUUGGGCGUAAAGAGCGUGUAGGCGGCCCGGUAAGUCCGCUGUGAAAGUCGGGGGCUCAACCCUCGAAUGCCGGUGGAUACUGGCGGGCUAGAGUGCGGAAGAGGCGAGUGGAAUUCCUGGUGUAGCGGUGAAAUGCGCAGAUAUCAGGAGGAACACCGAUUGCGAAGGCAGCUCGCUGGGACGUUACUGACGCUGAGACGCGAAAGCGUGGGGAGCAAACAGG